GCCAGAGUGGCGAAAUUGGUAGACGCAGGGGAUUCAAAAUCCCCCGCCCGCAAGGGUGUGCCGGUUCGAGUCCGGCCUCUGGUACCA
rnacentral:tRNA from 1 species